GAUGAACGCUGGCGGCGUGCCUAAUACAUGCAAGUCGAGCGAACGGACGAGAAGCUUGCUUCUCUGAUGUUAUCGGCGGACGGGUGAGUAACACGUGGAUAACCUACCUAUAAGACUGGGAUAACUUCGGGAAACCGGAGCUAAUACCGGAUAAUAUUUUGAACCGCAUGGUUCAAAAGUGAAAGACGGUCUUGCUGUCACUUAUAGAUGGAUCCGCGCUGCAUUAGCUAGUUGGUAAGGUAACGGCUUACCAAGGCAACGAUGCAUAGCCGACCUGAGAGGGUGAUCGGCCACACUGGAACUGAGACACGGUCCAGACUCCUACGGGAGGCAGCAGUAGGGAAUCUUCCGCAAUGGGCGAAAGCCUGACGGAGCAACGCCGCGUGAGUGAUGAAGGUCUUCGGAUCGUAAAACUCUGUUACUAGGGAAGAACAUAUGUGUAAGUAACUGUGCACAUCUUGACGGUACCUAAUCAGAAAGCCACGGCUAACUACGUG
rnacentral:rRNA from 1 species